UCACAGCUCUCAGCAGCAUGGCGCUGCUGGAUAGCACGUUACUGACAGUAAGGCGAGUCUCCUUCUUUGUGGCUCAUCUGUCUCUCGGUGUUGCAGGACCCGUCUGGUGCAGGCAAUCCGGUGCCGCCCCAAGCGCCCGGUGUGCAGUGGAACAGCGUCCUGCAUCCUUCCAUCAACCAGUCAGGCUUUGUGCAAGACCCAGGUUACUUGCAGAGGAAUGCUCAGAUGCCGCAGCACAGCUCUUCCCAGUCCGGCUCAGCCUUAUUUCUCCAUCUGCCUUCUGGUGGACAGAUGCAUGCUGCAGUGGGGCCAUAUCAGCAGAACUGCACGGGAAGCCACAGACCCCAGGCCGGGCAGCACAGCCCUCAAGGUGAGGCAUGGGCAGCUUCUCAAGGGGGAACCGCGUGCAGCGAAUGGGAAAGGCCUCUGUCGGAGGCAACGUCUUGUCUUUGGAGAAAGCGUUUUGAUUUGAUUCUUCUUCACUUCUUGCAUAGGCAAUGCAAAGCAGUCCACUCCUCGUGAGCUGGAACAACCUGUGCUCUGUGUAUUAUGCUGGGAGUCGUGAACGACGUUGCUCUCAGGGCUGGCUGUACUUUUAACCGUUGCAUCUCUCCUUCUCACUUAGGAAGAUACAGGCAGCACCCGCAGUGUGUUAAAGAGCCAUUUCGCUACACAGGGAAAGGAAAUCCCACGUUCUAUGUUUUGGAAAGGAUUUAGAGGCUUUUUUACAUCCUGUGCUGUUCUGUAUAGCUCAGUGUGGUUGGCUGAAGGUUGGGAGAGUGCCAGACAGCUUUAGACUCGGGAAUGUUCCUUAGCUGUGUCAAAACGCACAUUACGUGGCUCCUAUCCAGGCGCUUUGACUUUUAGCACAAGUCCUAAGUCUCUCCCUCUUCUCCGUGAGUGACCUUGAAGUAUCUGCUGACAGGAGGUCUGCAUGGCGGUUCAUGAACAAACCAGUUGAACGAUGCCGUCUUCCCCUCUUGCCACCCCUCUAGGAGCUUAUCCUGUGUGGCCCAACUGCAGCGCUCUGCCCGGUGCCAACUUCUGCAGCGCAGGACUGGGAGGAAGCAUGAACCCGGCGGCAGCAGGGAGCCAGUUGCGUGGCAGCGUUCCUCCUCAGCUGGGGGCAGGGAUGCGCCCCCCAGCAGGUGGCAUGGCUCACAGAGCACAAGGAGCAGCCGCCGUGUGUGCUGCUGCCAGCGCCAUCCAGAACUGGCCACCCGGUUAUCCCAGUGUGAACCAAGGGGGAAUGCUGGGCACUGGACCUCCUUACGGACAGGGAACUAACAGCAUGGCUGGUGUGAUCAACCGCCAGGGCCCACCUUGUGCCAUGGGUGGGAACCUGGCUAACGGCUCUGCAGGUAAGGCUGGGCUGAGUGCUGGGCUUUGAAGACUUCACGGCAUGGAUGGAAAAGCAAUGUCACAAAUUCCUGUGACUUCCUAGGGGUGGCAGCAAGUCCUGAGGUGAUGGGUCUGGCGAAUGUCAAAUUAACUCCUGCAAGUAAAAGAAGAAAGAGGGGAGAAGAGACCCAAAAAGCAGAACUCCAGUCAAAGGUAAAACUUCUGUUUGUUUGUUCGUUUGUAAAUGACACAGUGUAUGUAUCUAGUAGUGAGUGCAGCGCC